CCGAGAUUCCCCCAGUAGCGGCGAGCGAACGGGGAGGAGCCCAGAGCCUGAAUCAGUGUGUGUGUUAGUGGAAGCGUCUGGAAAGGCGCGCGAUACAGGGUGACAGCCCCGUACACAAAAAUGCACAUGCUGUGAGCUCGAUGAGUAGGGCGGGACACGUGGUAUCCUGUCUGAAUAUGGGGGGACCAUCCUCCAAGGCUAAAUACUCCUGACUGACCGAUAGUGAACCAGUACCGUGAGGGAAAGGCGAAAAGAACCCCGGCGAGGGGAGUGAAAAAGAACCUGAAACCGUGUACGUACAAGCAGUGGGAGCACAGAGCAAUCUGUGUGACUGCGUACCUUUUGUAUAAUGGGUCAGCGACUUAUAUUCUGUAGCAAGGUUAACCGAAUAGGGGAGCCGAAGGGAAACCGAGUCUUAACUGGGCGUUAAGUUGCAGGGUAUAGACCCGAAACCCGGUGAUCUAGCCAUGGGCAGGUUGAAGGUUGGGUAACACUAACUGGAGGACCGAACCGACUAAUGUUGAAAAAUUAGCGGAUGACUUGUGGCUGGGGGUGAAAGGCCAAUCAAACCGGGAGAUAGCUGGUUCUCCCCGAAAGCUAUUUAGGUAGCGCCUCGUGAAUUCAUCUCCGGGGGUAGAGCACUGUUUCGGCAAGGGGGUCAUCCCGACUUACCAACCCGAUGCAAACUGCGAAUACCGGAGAAUGUUAUCACGGGAGACACACGGCGGGUGCUAACGUCCGUCGUGAAGAGGGAAACAACCCAGACCGCCAGCUAAGGUCCCAAAGUCAUGGUUAAGUGGGAAACGAUGUGGGAAGGCCCAGACAGCCAGGAUGUUGGCUUAGAAGCAGCCAUCAUUUAAAGAAAGCGUAAUAGCUCACUGGUCGAGUCGGCCUGCGCGGAAGAUGUAACGGGGCUAAACCAUGCACCGAAGCUGCGGCAGCGACACUGUGUGUUGUUGGGUAGGGGAGCGUUCUGUAAGCCUGUGAAGGUGUGCUGUGAGGCAUGCUGGAGGUAUCAGAAGUGCGAAUGCUGACAUAAGUAACGAUAAAGCGGGUGAAAAGCCCGCUCGCCGGAAGACCAAGGGUUCCUGUCCAACGUUAAUCGGGGCAGGGUGAGUCGACCCCUAAGGCGAGGCCGAAAGGCGUAGUCGAUGGGAAACAGGUUAAUAUUCCUGUACUUGGUGUUACUGCGAAGGGGGGACGGAGAAGGCUAUGUUGGCCGGGCGACGGUUGUCCCGGUUUAAGCGUGUAGGCUGGUUUUCCAGGCAAAUCCGGAAAAUCAAGGCUGAGGCGUGAUGACGAGGCACUACGGUGCUGAAGCAACAAAUGCCCUGCUUCCAGGAAAAGCCUCUAAGCAUCAGGUAACAUCAAAUCGUACCCCAAACCGACACAGGUGGUCAGGUAGAGAAUACCAAGGCGCUUGAGAGAACUCGGGUGAAGGAACUAGGCAAAAUGGUGCCGUAACUUCGGGAGAAGGCACGCUGAUAUGUAGGUGAAGUCCCUCGCGGAUGGAGCUGAAAUCAGUCGAAGAUACCAGCUGGCUGCAACUGUUUAUUAAAAACACAGCACUGUGCAAACACGAAAGUGGACGUAUACGGUGUGACGCCUGCCCGGUGCCGGAAGGUUAAUUGAUGGGGUCAGCGCAAGCGAAGCUCUUGAUCGAAGCCCCGGUAAACGGCGGCCGUAACUAUAACGGUCCUAAGGUAGCGAAAUUCCUUGUCGGGUAAGUUCCGACCUGCACGAAUGGCGUAAUGAUGGCCAGGCUGUCUCCACCCGAGACUCAGUGAAAUUGAACUCGCUGUGAAGAUGCAGUGUACCCGCGGCAAGACGGAAAGACCCCGUGAACCUUUACUAUAGCUUGACACUGAACAUUGAGCCUUGAUGUGUAGGAUAGGUGGGAGGCUUUGAAGUGUGGACGCCAGUCUGCAUGGAGCCGACCUUGAAAUACCACCCUUUAAUGUUUGAUGUUCUAACGUGGACCCGUGAUCCGGGUUGCGGACAGUGUCUGGUGGGUAGUUUGACUGGGGCGGUCUCCUCCUAAAGAGUAACGGAGGAGCACGAAGGUUGGCUAAUCCUGGUCGGACAUCAGGAGGUUAGUGCAAUGGCAUAAGCCAGCUUGACUGCGAGCGUGACGGCGCGAGCAGGUGCGAAAGCAGGUCAUAGUGAUCCGGUGGUUCUGAAUGGAAGGGCCAUCGCUCAACGGAUAAAAGGUACUCCGGGGAUAACAGGCUGAUACCGCCCAAGAGUUCAUAUCGACGGCGGUGUUUGGCACCUCGAUGUCGGCUCAUCACAUCCUGGGGCUGAAGUAGGUCCCAAGGGUAUGGCUGUUCGCCAUUUAAAGUGGUACGCGAGCUGGGUUUAGAACGUCGUGAGACAGUUCGGUCCCUAUCUGCCGUGGGCGCUGGAGAACUGAGGGGGGCUGCUCCUAGUACGAGAGGACCGGAGUGGACGCAUCACUGGUGUUCGGGUUGUCAUGCCAAUGGCACUGCCCGGUAGCUAAAUGCGGAAGAGAUAAGUGCUGAAAGCAUCUAAGCACGAAACUUGCCCCGAGAUGAGUUCUCCCUGACCCUUUAAGGGUCCUGAAGGAACGUUGAAGACGACGACGUUGAUAGGCCGGGUGUGUAAGCGCAGCGAUGCGUUGAGCUAACCGGUACUAAUGAACCGUGAGGCUUAACCUUACAACGCCGAAGGUGUUU
rnacentral:rRNA from 1 species